CCUUGGGCCUCUUCACCGUGUUCAGGCCCGAGGAGACGGACACAGACCUGGAAAGGCUGGACGCCUCGCUGUAAUCUGCAGGCCGGGAGGGAGACAUUCUCACAUGUGGUUUCUGCACAUGUGAUUUUUUCACACAGGGCUUCCUUACAGCCGUCCGCUACGAACAUCUGCAUGUCCAUCUGCCGGGAUGACAGCGUCUCUAGAUACUGCAGGGAACCAGUCACAAUGUUUGAUGUUAAAAAGGGUCUGGUCACAGAACCAAUCAGAACAUCUCAUCUCAAGUGGUCUGGUCACAGAACCAGUCAGAACAUCUCAUCUCAAAUGGUCUGGACAGAGAGAGCAUUGCAAAGGAACCGAUCAGAAUGCCAUUUCUAUGGUGACUGGCAACAAAGAAAUGUAGAGGAACCAAUUGAACAGUGCCAUCCAAAAUGGCCAGCUUUGGCUUUUCCAGCAGAGGAGUUGUCCUUGAUAACACCCUGAAUAUGAGAAUAGAAAAAUGAGUUUGUACUAUUCACAGAUGGGUAGCAGUGUUUUUAUAAACAAGAUCAGAAGGUUUCAGUUUUGAAUCAUGUGUGGUGCUCUUCAUAUUUUAUCCCAGAGCAUACCUGAAUUGGCCCAGUAAAUGUUUGAUGAGAUGACAUGUAUGUAAAACAGACAAGCCAUAGACGCUCUCCUGGAUAACCAAAUAAAUAUGGCUAUGACUCACAUGGCCAGGAAAGUCCA